GAUGAACGCUGGCGGCGUGCCUAAUACAUGCGAGUCGAGCGAACAGACGAGGAGCUUGCUCCUCUGACGUUAGCGGCGGACGGGUGAGUAACACGUGGAUAACCUACCUAUAAGACUGGGAUAACUUCGGGAAACCGGAGCUAAUACCGGAUAAUAUAUUGAACCGCAUGGUUCAAUAGUGAAAGACGGUUUUGCUGUCACUUAUAGAUGGAUCCGCGCCGGAUUAGCUAGUUGGUAAGGUAACGGCUUACCAAGGCAACGAUGCGUAGCCGAACUGAGAGGGUGAUCGGCCACCCGGGAACUGAGACACGGUCCAGACUCCUACGGGAGGCAGCAGUAGGGAAUCGUCCGCAAUGGGCGAAAGCCUGACGGAGCAACGCCGCGUGAGUGAUGAAGGUCUUCGGAUCGUAAAACUCUGUUAUUAGGGAAGAACAAAUGUGUAAGUAACUAUGCACGUCUUGACGGUACCGAAUCAGAAAGCCACGGCUAACUACGUG
rnacentral:rRNA from 1 species